CUCAGCUGCGCGCGGGAGCGGCUCACGGCUCUAGCUGCCGCUCAGCCCGAGAGGCGGUAACAAGAAGGUUUAACAUCAGAACCCGACUGAUUCUUGUUGCCUAAGCUCGGUUUGAGUGUGGAGGUGAUGCAGCUGAGGCACCUUUACAUGCGCGUGGCUCAGCGGGAAGGCCUCUCAGGCUCCGGCCAUUUAACCUGAAGAGAACGCUCUUAGGAGUGGAGGCAAAUGGUGUGAGGGGUGAAAUGGCUUUCUGAAGCCUAGCAAGGAUCUGAGUGGAUUUCUGUUUCUGGCUCUGAGAACUGCUGUAGAAAUCGAGAUAUUAAUGAUGAUCAAUUGAAGAUUUUCAAGUGGUUUUCAGAAGAGAACGCCAACAGUCUGAAAUGGAAUCUCAGUGUGGAGUCUCAUUUCUUGUGAAGCAGGAAUUAGAGAUGCUGGGAGGCUGUGGGACAGAACUGCCCCCAACAGUCUCAAAAGUCACUUCCAUAAAUGAGGUAAAUAAAUCACUCUUUGAUUCAUCCGUAAUUGUAAGCUUCUGAGAAGCAACCAGUGAUUUGUCUUAGUUGCUCUUGUCUUAGGCUUCUUGUAUUCCUUUUCUUAUGCUACUAGUUAGUUUUACUGGCCUGGAGUAGAACUUCUUAGAACUUCAUUUAC
rnacentral:lncRNA from 1 species